rnacentral:rRNA from 1 species
UACGUAGGCAGCAAGCGUUGUUCGGAAUUACUGGGCGUAAAGCGUGUGUAGGCGGUCUGUCAAGUCCGUUGUGAAAUCUCCCGGCUCAACUGGGAGGGUGCGCCGGAAACUGACAGGCUAGAGUGCGGUAGGGGAGAGUGGAAUUCCUGGUGUAGCGGUGAAAUGCAUAGAUAUCAGGAGGAACACCGAUGGUGAAGACGGCUCUCUGGACCGCUACUGACGC